GAUGAAGAACGUAGUGAAAUGCGAUAAGUAAUGUGAAUUGCAGAAUUCAGUGAAUCAUCGAAUCUUUGAACGCACAUUGCGCCCGCCAGUAGUCUGGCGGGCAUGCCUGUUCGAGCGUCAUUUCAACCAUCAAGCCCCCGGCUUGUGUUGGGGACCUGCGGCUGCCGCAGGCCCUGAAAACCAGUGGCGGGCUCGCUAGUCACUCCGAGCGUAGUAAUACAUCUCGCUCAGGGCGUGCUGCGGGUUCCGGCCGUUAAAAAGCCUUAUUUACCCAAGGUUGACCUCGGAUCAGGUAGGAAGACCCGCUGAACUUAAGCAUAUCAAUAAGCGGAGGA
rnacentral:misc_RNA from 1 species